CCGUCUGAAUCUAUAGCUCCAGAGAAAAUAGAGAAAGCGGUUUCCAUUUCUUACACUCUUGGCUCCUGCAGGCUUCCAUCAUUGCCGCUGCUGCUGUCACCACUACUACCACUGCAGGGUUGCCUAGAAGCCGAUGAUCACUGUAAAGUUCCCCAAUGAAUUAAGUUUGGGCCAGGAGAUACUAAAGGAUACAAAAAUGGCAGACUCACUGCUGUUCUGGAGGUCUGUGCUAAACACACAUGGAAGAAUCUAUGCCAGGUACUCUGCCACCAUGGCAAAGCAUCCGAACAUGAAGAAGAUGGGUUUGAAUACCUGAAGAAUGUUGGGAGCUAAGUCAGUAUUGGUCCACAUCUGAAGACUGACAAAUCAUUUCAAGCAAAAAGAAGUAUGUAAUGUAGAAUGACAUCAUAUUUUAUGACUCUUUUAUCAUUAUGCUUUCUCUCAGGGAACUUCUUUAGAAAAACCGUUUCCCCAGAGUAAGUAUAUUUCCAUCAAACAGAACCCACUGAAACAUGAUGAGGACAAAGGCUACACCUCAAUUUAAUAAAGAUGCCUAAAUAUACAAGUCA
rnacentral:lncRNA from 1 species